AUGUAGAAAAUGUGUGAAAAUCCAUCUCAAAAAGCCUUGAAAUAAUGAGAAUAUAUUACUUGAUAUGAAUUUAUAGGUCAUUUACUUAGGUUUCUACAUCAAUUUAUUGAUCCUUAGACUCUAAGUUUGAGAAAAAGUUUAAGACGGGUUAUUUAGAUGACACUUAUCUUCCUCUUGUUUUAUUCAUCUUAUAUGGAAAUACAUUACUUUUGCCUGUCACUUUUGUUAAUUAGCUUUAUCAAUAGGCAUAAACUGUAUAGCAAGCUGAAAUAACUGGAUCUUAUGUGGUAUCUUUUAGCUACAUCAUUUAAGGCAGUUGAUAUUUCUAUAAACAACAUUUUUAUGCACUUUCAUGUUUGUGGUUAACCUGUUAAAGCUAUUCUUCCCUUUUGUAUUUCUCUAUGUCAUUAUGAGGCAGUGUCUAAAGAAAAGAUACAUUUGACUGAUAAAUCCAAGGUUAUCCAACAUUAAGAAAAAAACAUAUAUAUACCCCAAAGGUUCAAUCUAAUGAUAUCAGGAUCUAGGAAUGAGGAGGCCUGGUCCCAUAAACCCCUUGAAAACAAUACAUUUGAUGAGGAACUUUUAAUAACUCUCAUCCUUAGCAAUCAUUUGUAUGAAGAGUUCAGUGAGUCAUAGCUGACCAGGGAAAUAUCUCACAACAAUGCAGUCUGAUAGCCAAGCACCCUGCUUUCAUUCCUUGUAAAGUAAAAAACACUUGUCUAAACACUCUCAAUGUAACACCAUUAUUCUCUUUUUUUCUUUUUGAAUGGUAAAUGACAGUAUCAAAAAAUCAUGGAAUUAAAAUAGCAGCUCCUUUCUUUUUCGUGCAUUUUUAUCUAAAUGAAAUCUGCCAUACUUCAGGGCCUAUGUUCAGUGUGAUACUUUUGUGGAGGCUCAGUCUAUAGCCAAAACUGUGUGUGUUGAUACUAAGAUUCUGAAAACCUUCAUUUUUUUAUCUUUCAAUUCUAUUCAUUAUACUGAGACAUUUAUUUUCCAGAAGCAAAAAGGAUGGAUGUUAAAGUUUUUUUUCUGAUUUGUACUUUUGAUUCACGAUCUGAUUUUUCAUAAAGAAGCCUCGACAGGGUUUGUUUUCCUAUUGAAGAUCUCACAUUCAAGUCUUCACUGUCAAGAGCAAGCAGGGGAUAGAAUGUACCAAGUAACUUAGCAACCAUCCAAAUUCCAUCCACAUUCCAGGCCUGUGCUCCAGUUCUAUGGGAAACACCAUUCAAUCCAGAAAUAGACAAGAAAGAGGGUUGAAACCUUCAUGACAAUGCUAGAGAAUUAACAGUGAGAGAUGCAUUAAGCAACAACACAGUUUUGCCUUUUACAAGCUCCCUGAGGUUUUUAUUUCAGUCAGAGGACCAAGAUUUCAGUUCAAGUCACUGGAAGAAAAGAGCUGUCAUUUAUGCUCUCUACUUACAGGUAAAUUGUCUUGUGAUUAUUUCCACAGAACUCUGACUUGGAUAAGGUGAGCUAUGCUGUUAUAUAUGUCUAAACAAAUAAAUCUUCACACAAAUCAUAAAGGUCCAUUGAAUUUAAAUGAUGUGAACUCCAGAACCCUGUUCAUAAAGUUUUAUCCUAUAUCCACUCAUGGAUUAAUCUGGACCAAAUGAUCAAGGAUACGCAGAUUACAUGCCUGGUUUGAAUUAACCCAGAAGGAAAGCCUGCUCUUCAUGAGUCUGAGAUACUAAGGAAUGCACAUGUUUACAAUUCUCAAUAAUGCAUAUUUCACAUUAAUUCCUAAAAUAUAAUAUAAUAUGUAGCAGGCAUUAGUGUGAUACAUUUGUUUGUAAGUGUAAGGAUUGCUGCAUGUUUAUUAAUUGAGGCAGAAAUUAAUCUUAGAAUGCAUUAUCUCUGAUUUUACUUUUAUUCUAAAAGGAAGACAGAAUAAUUUCUGAUCUGGUCAUGCUUAGAGAAAUAAAAUCUAAAAAUUGAAACAUAAGCAACCCAAACACAGAGAUGGUAGAGGGAAGAAUUAUAUUGAGUCUAUUUUAAAUAUUGAAAAGUGAAACAGAUUAUCAGAAGCCAAACUUUGUAAGCCUGCAAUUUUUUUCUUGCUUAAUUUCAUAAGCUUUUGACACUAAAUGAAUGCACAUUUAAUCUCUUGAUGUUUAUUUAAUUACAGACUUGUAUCCAUUUUAUUACGAUGUUCUUCUUUUUUACAAUUUAGUUCCCCAGAGGGCAAGACCAAGGUCAGUUUAAUCUGAAGUCUUUCGUACUUGAUAAAAAUGUCACUGUAAUGAAAACUUGACCGCAAUUAUAAAGAUGACAUCAUUAUGAUGAUGAUUAUGAUAAUAAUGAUGACGAUGAUGAUGACUUUGCCAUUGCUUUGCAGAAAAGGCUACCUAAGAUCGGAACCCUCUGAUAAUUUGUGCUGCUAUUUUAAGAUCCAGUUCCAUUCUACAACUGGCUGAAGCAUGAAGUCAACUAAAAUAAACUGAAUUGAGUGGAACUGAACUGAACUGAAGUGAAAUAAUGUGAUUUCCAGUAAACCUGACACCUUAAGGACAGAACAUGAGCCUUGCCCAUCUUCCUCCCAGAGGUCCCAGCACAAUCACCGACUCACACAAUACUCUCAGUGCAUGAGUGAUGAAUUUCACUAACAGCGACCCAUCUCUCUACAUAAUCCACUCCGGUUUCACCAGAGCUGAGAGUAUCAUGAAUUACAUCUAUAGAUAGCUGUAAGCUAAUGACCAAAGCACAUAACUGAAUUCAAACAUAUUCUUUAUUGCAGUCAGAUGUGAGAAAACAAAAUUUAGAAGACAAGCCAGAAAGGAAAUGAAGAACAUAAAGAGCCUGAAUUCUCAUCGUCAAUUUUUCCCUGACUGACUCCGUUUUCCUCUCUUCUUUCCAUUUACCUUUCUGUUCCCAUCCCCAUCAUUUUUGUAGUGUUUAUUGAGUGUCUGCUGCAUGCCAGUCAAUGUGCUGAGUACUUUUCAUGUGUUAUACCAUUUGAUCGUCACAGCAGCACACUAUUAUAAUUAUGAAUAUGAUUCCACAUACUAUAUCUAAAAUUUAACUUAAUUUUACAUAGGAGGAAGCUGAGACUUGCCCAAGACUACUCCAUUAGUAAGAUGUGAACCAAGUGAACCAUGUCUGACUCAAACCUAACCCCUGAUUCUCUGAAUCCAUAUCACCGUAGAACUCAACAGUGAAAUAUUGGGGUAGAGGUAAUGCUAUUAGUACACAAACUAUGCACAGAUUUACAAGCAACUAAACAGGAACUCAUGGCCAGGCACAAUGGUUCAUGCCUGUAAUUCCAGCACUUUGGGAGG
rnacentral:lncRNA from 1 species